rnacentral:rRNA from 1 species
UGAGCAAUCUGCCCUUCUCAUCGGAAUAAGCGUUGGAAACGACGUCUAAUGCCGAAUACGACCUCCUUUCGCAUGAUCGGAGGUGGAAAGCUCCGGCGGAGAAGGAUGAGCUCGCGGCCUAUCAGCUAGUUGGUGUGGGUAACGCCCACCAAGGCGACGACGGGUAGCCGGCCUGAGAGGGUGACCGGCCACACUGGGACUGAGACACGGCCCAGACCUCCUACGGGAGGNGGCAGG